CAGUAGCCGCGGUAAAACGAAGGGGGCUAGCGUUGUUCGGAAUUGCUGGGCGUAAAGGGCGCGUAGGCGGCCAUUCAAGUUAGAUGUGAAAGCCCUGGGCUCAACCUAGGAAUUGCAUUUGAUACUGUUUGGCUUGAGUUCGGGAGAGGUGAGUGGAAUUCCCAGUGUAGAGGUGAAAUGCGUAGAUAUCUGGAGGAACACCCGUGGCGAAAGCGGCUCACUGGACAAUAACUGACGCUGAUGCACGAAAGCUAGGGGAGCAAACAGGAUUAGAUACCCGCGUAGUCCCUGUCUCUUAUAC
rnacentral:rRNA from 1 species